rnacentral:lncRNA from 1 species
UGAUGUUGAGAUGCAACAGUUUGUGCCUCAUUCAAGAACCGAUGAAAAGUUGGCAAGCACUAAAACAAGCGAAGAACCUGAUCCUGAUGAUUUGGAAGUUUCUGUGAAGCAGCAUCUUGUGGUUGAGCCUGAACCUGAAAACUCUCAAUUGCUCAAGACUCUGGACAGCAAAGUUCAGAUGAUGAAGACCCUUGAUGAACCUGAUCCAGAUGAUUCUGAAGUAAAAAGGAAUGGUUUGGGAUGUGGAAAUAUUUCUAGACUUGAUCAUGGUAAUUCUUUGGUGAUGAAAACCAUGGAAGAUCAAUGCCCACAAAGAAAGGGUUAUAAAGAACCAGAUCCGGAUGAUUCUCAAGCAAAUGGAGUCAUGGCAGAACCUGAUCCAGAUGAUAAUUUGGUACACCCACUGGACACUUCCAUAAUGCACACUGAUGAGCCAGAUCCUGAUGAUGAAGAAUUGCAGAGAAUCCAAGACCCUGUUACUGUUGUUUGUAAUCGCCUGCAAAAGGCCAUUGAGAUGCUGC